rnacentral:rRNA from 1 species
UAAAUAUCAAAAUUUUCUUAAUUUUGACAAAAUUAAAUUUUUAAUAAACUAUAAUUUGUAAUUACACCUUCCGGUACAAUAACCAUGUUACGACUUACUCCAUUUGCAGGAGACGACGGGCAGUUUGUACACUUUUGAUUAAUUUUCAAAAUUUUAUAAUAAAAAAAAUUUACUUUUGAAUUUAAUUCAUUAAUUAUUUUCAAAUCAAGUUUACAAUUAAUUCUUUAACUUACAGCUAAGCUUUUCUAUAAUCUUCGUCUUUACCUGACAUAGAUUGAAUAUAAUAAAAAAUAAAAGUAAAAUUUUAUUUUUCUGACGGAGAUAUAAAAAAUAAAUAAAGAAAAGUAAGAUUUUAGUGGAUUCUCUAUUAUCACCAUAAGUCUCCAAUAAUAAAAGCCGCCAUAAAUUUUAGUUAGACUCAAAAUUUAAUGCUUCUUUUUAAUAAUAGGGUAUCUAAUCCUAGUUUUUAAACAAUUUUCUAUUUUAACAAAUAAAAAAAUUUUAAUUAAACUAUUAAACCUUUAAUUAAAAUAUGACAUUUAUUUAGAAAUUUGUUGAAAUAAUGUAGAAUUUUGUUUUACCGCGAGUGCUGGCACAAAAUUUUCUCUCUAAAUUUAAAAACAAUUUCUUUUAAUUUUAUAAAAGGAUUAAUAAUUCAGUGACUUAAUCAAAAUUUUUAAAUUUAAUUACUAAACUAAUUUACGA